rnacentral:pre_miRNA from 1 species
UAAAUACUCCCUCCGUCCGAAAAUACUUGACAUCAAAAUGGAUAAAAAGAGAUGUAUCUAAAACUAAAAUAUGUCUAGAUACAUUUCCUUUUAUCCAUUUUGAUGACAAGUAUUUCCGGACGGAGGGAGUACUCC